AGUUAAUGAACUUGUAUAAGUAUAUGUUUUGAAAGCAUAAUAAAGGAUUAAUAACCCUAUUAACUU
rnacentral:tRNA from 1 species